UCGAAGUGAGUGAUCCUAUGCUGCCAAGAAAAGCCUCUAGCGAGUUGUAAAGCCGCCCGUACCCCAAACCGAUACAGGUGGUCAGGUAGAGAAUACUAAGGCGAUCGAGAUAACUAUGGUUAAGGAACUCGGCAAAAUGCCCCCGUAACUUCGGAGAAGGGGGGCCCGUUCCGGUGAUUGGAUUUACUUCAUGAGCUGGGAUCGGCCGCAGAGACCAGGCCCAAGCGACUGUUUACUAAAAACACAGGUCUAUGCAAAGUGGCAACACGCCGUAUAUAGACUGACGCCUGCCCGGUGCUGGAACGUUAAGGGGACGAGUUAGCGGAUUUAUCCGCGAAGCCCAGAACUUAAGCGCCAGUAAACGGCGGUGGUAACUAUAACCAUCCUAAGGUAGCGAAAUUCCUUGUCGGGUAAGUUCCGACCUGCACGAAUGGCGUAACGACUUGGGCGCUGUCUCAACCGUAGACUCGGCGAAAUUGCACUACGAGUAAAGAUGCUCGUUACGCGCGGCAGGACGGAAAGACCCCGGGACCUUCACUACAGCUUGGUAUUGGUGGUCGAUUCAAUUUGUGUAGGAUAGGUGGGAGACUUUGAAGCAGGGACGCCAGUUCUUGUGGAGUCAUCGUUGAAAUACCACUCUGAUUGUAUUGGCUGUCUAACCUAGGUCCGUAAUCCGGAUCAGGGACAGUGCCUGAUGGGUAGUUUAACUGGGGCGGUUGCCUCCAAAAAUGUAACGGAGGCGCUCAAAGGUUCCCUCAGCCUGGUUGGCAAUCAGGUGUCGAGUGCAAGUGCACAAGGGAGCUUGACUGUGAGAGUGACGGCUCGAGCAGGGACGAAAGUCGGAACUAGUGAUCCGGCGCUGGCAUGUGGAAGCGGCGUCGCUCAACGGAUAAAAGGUACCCCGGGGAUAACAGGCUGAUCUUGCCCAAGAGUCCAUAUCGACGGCAUGGUUCGGCACCUCGAUGUCGGCUCGUCGCAUCCUGGGGCUGGAGUAGGUCCCAAGGGUUGGGCUGUUCGCCCAUUAAAGCGGCACGCGAGCUGGGUUUAGAACGUCGUGAGACAGUUCGGUCCCUAUCCGCCGCGCGCGUAAGAAUCUUGAGGAGGCCUGUCCCUAGUACGAGAGGACCGGGAUGGACGAACCUCUGGUGUGUGAGUUGUUCUGCCAAGAGCACUGCUCAUUAGCUACGUUCGGGAAAGAUAACCGCUGAAAGCAUCUAAGCGGGAAACUUGCUCCAAGAUUAGGGUUCUCACAGGGUUAACCUGGUAAGGCCCCCAGCAGACCACUGGGUUGAUAGGCCGGAAGUGGAAGUGCGGUAACGCAUGCAGCUGACCGGUACUAAUAGGCCGAGGACUUGCCUC
rnacentral:rRNA from 1 species